rnacentral:rRNA from 1 species
ACGGGAGGCAGCAGUGGGGAAUAUUGGACAAUGGGGGAAACCCUGAUCCAGCGACGCCGCGUGAGUGAAGAAGUAUUUCGGUAUGUAAAGCUCUAUCAGCAAGGAAGAAAAUGACGGUACUUGACUAAGAAGCCCCGGCUAACUACGUGCCAGCAGCCGCGGUAAUACGUAGGGGGCAAGCGUUAUCCGGAUUUACUGGGUGUAAAGGGAGCGUAGACGGUAUGGCAAGUCUGAAGUGAAAUGCAUGGGCUCAACCCAUGAACUGCUUUGGAAACUGUCAAACUAGAGUGCAGGAGAGGUAAGUGGAAUUCCUAGUGUAGCGGUGAAAUGCGUAGAUAUAAGGAAGAACACCAGUGGCGAAGGCGGUCUACUGGACAGUAACUGACGCUGAGGCGCGAAAGCGUGGGGAGCAAACAGGAUUAGAUACCCUGGUA